GAAUCCCGUCUUUGGCAUGGAUGACCGGGGCUUUUGUGAUGCGCUCUCGAAGAGUCGAGUUGUUUGGGAAUGCAGCUCAAAAUGGGUGGUGAACUCCAUCUAAAGCUAAAUAUUGGCGAGAGACCGAUAGCGAACAAGUACCGUGAGGGAAAGAUGAAAAGCACUUUGGAAAGAGAGUGAAACAGUACGUGAAAUUGUUGAAAGGGAAACGCUUGAAGUCAGUCGCGUCGGCCGAGACUCAGCCUUGCCUCGGCUUGGUGUACUUCUUGACCGACGGGUCAGCAUCAAUUUUGCCCCUUGGAUAAUGGCGAGGGAAAUGUGACACCUUUAUAGGUGUGUUAUAGUCUCUCGUCGCAUGCAAGGGUCGGGAUUGAGGAACUCAGCACGCGCCUUCGGGCGUCGGGGCCUUGCCCACGAUACGUGCUUAGGAUGUUGGCGUAAUGGCUUUAAACGACCCGUCUUGAAACACGGACCAAGGAGUCUAACAUGCCCGCGAGUGUUCGGGUGGAAAACCCGUGCGCGCAAUGAAAGUGAAAGUUGGGACCUCUGUCGCGGAGGGCACCGACGCCCGGACCAGAGCUUCUGCGACGGAUCUGCGGUGGAGCGUGUAUGUUAGGACCCGAAAGAUGGUGAACUAUGCCUGAAUAGGGUGAAGCCAGAGGAAACUCUGGUGGAGGCUCGUAGCGAUUCUGACGUGCAAAUCGAUCGUCAAAUUUGGGUAUAGGGGCGAAAGACUAAUCGAACCAUCUAGUAGCUGGUUCCUGCC
rnacentral:rRNA from 1 species